rnacentral:rRNA from 1 species
AUUGAACGCUGGCGGCAGGCCUAACACAUGCAAGUCGAGCGGAUGAAGGGAGCUCGCUCCUGGAUUCAGCGGCGGACGGGUGAGUAAUGCCUAGGAAUCUGCCUGGUAGUGGGGGAUAACGUCCGGAAACGGGCGCUAAUACCGCAUACGUCCUGAGGGAGAAAGUGGGGGAUCUUCGGACCUCACGCUAUCAGAUGAGCCUAGGUCGGAUUAGCUAGUUGGUGGGGUAAAGGCCUACCAAGGCGACGAUCCGUAACUGGUCUGAGAGGAUGAUCAGUCACACUGGAACUGAGACACGGUCCAGACUCCUACGGGAGGCAGCAGUGGGGAAUAUUGGACAAUGGGCGAAAGCCUGAUCCAGCCAUGCCGCGUGUGUGAAGAAGGUCUUCGGAUUGUAAAGCACUUUAAGUUGGGAGGAAGGGCAGUAAGUUAAUACCUUGCUGCUUUGACGUUACCAACAGAAUAAGCACCGGCUAACUUCGUG